ACUCUUCUUUCUCUUCACAUCGCAUAAAUCUUUCGCCUUUUACUAAAGAUCUCCGUGGGGAGGAACAACAAGAUUAUAAUACUAGUUUGGGGCUUCCUUUAUUGUGAAAAU